UCUUCUACUCUCUCUCUUAUCCCUUCUUCUCUCUCACUCUCUCUCUCGGUACACUCUCUCUCCUUUGGUUCGAGCAAACCAGCGAAACAGAAGCAGAAGCAAGCACAGCAGCACCGAGAGGAGAAGACCGAAGUAGCUCGCCGUCGCCGCCUACGCGCUGCUUUGCCGCUCACCGCUCGCCCUCCACCUCUUCUUCACCCCCCAUUCAGUCGUCGUUGCCGCCCUCCUUCUCUUCCUUUCUGUUUCGUGCGAAGCCCAGUGGAAGCAGAAACAGAAGUAGCGGCUCUCGUUGCCUGAAGCCGGAGCAGCAGCCGCCCGCUGUUCCGCCGUUCACGCGUGCGCGGCCCCACUGAGCUGCCGUUUGUUUCCCUCCUCACGCCAGUCCAGCGUCGUCCAGCUGCAGUCGCCUCUGCCCAGUCCCGUUCAACCACCUCCGGCUGCGGUUCAGCCACCUCCGGUCACCAUACACCGGCACCUUGACCCACUGGAGUCCCCUCGCCCUCCGCCGGCCUUGCCUCGCCAUCUUAGCCCCGGAUCCGCCCUCAACCAGCAGCGAACAGAGAAGUGCAGAAUGGGUAUGUCAGCAACUAUUUGGCCUGUUUUGGCCGUUUUCUCGAGCCCGGAUGCUCGGCCCGCUUUGAGGAAAGUCGAUCCUCACGUCGAUCCCGUCGUAUUGAGACCCUGAUGAGGAGCCUAAGGAGGAGGAAUCUGAAGAGGAGAACUCUAAUGUAAAAUCAGAUGAGAAUGAAGAUUUUGGAGAAGAAGAUGACCAUGAGGAGGAUUUUGAGUACAACCCGGAUGAGGACUAAGAUCAUAUCUUCUUUUGUGAACCCUGUACAUGUGUGGUUGUGAAUUUAAAUAUGAAAAUUAUGGCCCUGUUUUUCUAUCCCAUUAUUUUAUUGUCUGGG